CCUACGGGGGGCAGCAGUGAGGAAUAGUGGGCAAUGGGGGCAACCCUGACCCAGCCAUGCCGCGUGAGUGAAGAAGGUCUUCGGAUGGUAAAGCUCUUUCGGACGGGACGAGGAUGACGGUAGCGUCGAAAGAAGCACCGGCAAACGUCGGGCCAGCAGCCGCGGUAAUACGAAGGGUGCGAGCGUUGUUCGGAAUUACUGGGCGUAACGGGAGUGUAGGCGGAUCUGUAAGAUAGCGGUGAAAUGCCGGGGCUCAACCCCGUAACUGCCAUUAUGACUAUGUAUCUAGAGUAAUGGAGAGCCUAGCGGAAUCCCCAUUGUAGCGGUGUACUUCGUCGCUAUUGGG
rnacentral:rRNA from 1 species